GGCGGACGGGUGAGUAAUACUUAGGAAUCUGCCCACUAGUGGGGGACAACUCGAGGAAACUCGAGCUAAUACCGCAUACGCCCUACGGGGGAAAGCGGAGGACCUUUCGGGGCUUCGCGCUAAUGGAUGAGCCUAAGUCGGAUUAGCUUGUUGGUGAGGUAAAGGCUCACCAAGGCGACGAUCCGUAGCUGGUCUGAGAGGACGAUCAGCCACACUGGGACCGAGACACGGCCCAG
rnacentral:rRNA from 1 species